rnacentral:rRNA from 1 species
GAUGAACGCUAGCUACAGGCUUAACACAUGUAAGUCGAGGGGCAGCAUGGUCUUAGCUUGCUAAGGCCGAUGGCGACCGGCGCACGGGUGAGUAACGCGUAUCCAACCUGCCUUACACUCUUGGACAGCCUUCUGAAAGGGAGAUUAAUACAAGAUGUUAUCAUGAGUAAGCAUUUUCGCAUGAUUAAAGGUUUACCGGUGUAAGAUGGGGAUGCGUUCCAUUAGAUAGUAGGCGGGGUAACGGCCCACCUAGUCUUCGAUGGAUAGGGGUUCUGAGAGGAAGGUCCCCCACAUUGGAACUGAGACACGGUCCAAACUCCUACGGGAGGCAGCAGUGAGGAAUAUUGGUCAAUGGACGAGAGUCUGAACCAGCCAAGUAGCGUGAAGGAUGAAGGUUCUAUGGAUUGUAAACUUCUUUUAUACGGGAAUAAACGGAUCCACGUGUGGAUUUUUGCAUGUACCGUAUGAAUAAGGAUCGGCUAACUCCGUGCCAGCAGCCGCGGUAAUACGGAGGAUCCGAGCGUUAUCCGGAUUUAUUGGGUUUAAAGGGAGCGUAGAUGGGUUGUUAAGUCAGUUGUGAAAGUUUGCGGCUCAACCGUAAAAUUGCAAUUGAUACUGGCAGUCUUGAGUACAGUUGAGGUAGGCGGAAUUCGUGGUGUAGCGGUGAAAUGCUUAGAUAUCACGAAGAACUCCGAUUGCGAAGGCAGCUUACUAACCUGUAACUGACAUUGAUGCUCGAAAGUGUGGGUAUCAAACAGGAUUAGAUACCCUGGUAGUCCACACGGUAAACGAUGAAUACUCGCUGUAGGCGAUAUACAGUCUGCGGCCAAGCGAAAGCAUUAAGUAUUCCACCUGGGGAGUACGCCGGCAACGGUGAAACUCAAAGGAAUUGACGGGGGCCCGCACAAGCGGAGGAACAUGUGGUUUAAUUCGAUGAUACGCGAGGAACCUUACCCGGGCUUAAAUUGCAACCGAAUAUGGCGGAAACGCUAUAGCUAGCAAUAGCGGUUGUGAAGGUGCUGCAUGGUUGUCGUCAGCUCGUGCCGUGAGGUGUCGGCUUAAGUGCCAUAACGAGCGCAACCCUUGCCGAUAGUUACUAACAGGUUAUGCUGAGGACUCUGUCGGGACUGCCAUCGUAAGAUGUGAGGAAGGUGGGGAUGACGUCAAAUCAGCACGGCCCUUACGUCCGGGGCUACACACGUGUUACAAUGGGGGGUACAGAGGGCUGCUACCACGCAAGUGGAUGCCAAUCCCAAAAACCUCUCUCAGUUCGGAUUGAAGUCUGCAACCCGACUUCAUGAAGCUGGAUUCGCUAGUAAUCGCGCAUCAGCCACGGCGCGGUGAAUACGUUCCCGGGCCUUGUACACACCGCCCGUCAAGCCAUGGGAGCCGGGGGUACCUGAAGUGCGUAACCGCAAGGAGCGCCCUAGGGUAAAACUGGUGACUGGGGC